UGAGGAAUAUUGGUCAAUGGACGGAAGUCUGAACCAGCCAAGUAGCGUGCAUGAUGACGGCCCUAUGGGUUGUAAACUCCUUUUGUAUGGGGAUAAAGUUAGGGGCUUGUCCCUAUUUGCCGGUACCAUACGAAUAAGGACCGGCUAAUUCCGUGCCAGCAGCCGCGGUAAUACGGAAGGUCCAGGCGUUACCCGGAUCUAUUGGGUUUAAAGGGAGCGUAGGCUGGAGAUUAAGUGUGUUGUGAAAUGUAGACGCUCAACGUAUGAAUUGCAGCGCAUACUGGUGUCCUUGAGUACGCACAAGGUUGGCGGAAUUCGUGGUGUAGCGGUGAAAUGCUUAGAUAUGAAGAAGAACACCGAUGGCGAAGGCAGCUAACGGGAGCGAAACUGACGCUUAAGCUCGAAGGUGCGGGGAUCAAACAGG
rnacentral:rRNA from 1 species